GAUGAACGCUGGCGGCGUGCCUAAUACAUGCAAGUCGAGCGAACAGACGAGGAGCUUGCUCCUCUGACGUUAGCGGCGGACGGGUGAGUAACACGUGGAUAACCUACCUAUAAGACUGGGAUAACUUCGGGAAACCGGAGCUAACACCGGAUAAUAUAUUGAACCGCAUGGUUCAAUAGUGAAAGACGGUUUUGCCGUCACUUAUAGAUGGAUCCGCGCCGCAUUAGCUAGUUGGUAAGGUAACGGCUUACCAAGGCAACGAUGCGUAGCCGACCUGAGAGGGUGAUCGGCCACACUGGAACUGAGACACGGUCCAGACUCCUACGGGAGGCAGCAGUAGGGAAUCUUCCGCAAUGGGCGAAAGCCUGACGGAGCAACGCCGCGUGAGUGAUGAAGGUCUUCGGAUCGUAAAACUCUGUUAUUAGGGAAGAACAAAUGUGUAAGUAACUAUGCACGUCUUGACGGUACCUAAUCAGAAAGCCACGGCUAACUACGUG
rnacentral:rRNA from 1 species